GGCGUGAAAGCUAGCGCAUUAAAGGGCUUUAAGGAGUCUUAAUUAGAUUUGCCCUUUAGAACGACCCCUUUGGCUGUAAAGUGUAGAAUCAACUGGAAGUGGGCAAAAGUAACCGAGAUAACUAACACCAUAGCUCAUCCCAGCGCGGGGAGGGCGGCCCAGAUGGCCUGCGCGCUUCUGCGUCCCCUGCUGGCCCUCAGCAGCCACGUCCUGGACCGGCCGGAGCGGCCAACUGCGACUGCGCCCUCCGGAGCCCGCCGGGACCAUCUGGGUGCUUGCCAACGCGCUGACCUGGACCGGAAGCGGAAGUGAGGUCAAGUUCGCCUCGCGCGCUUCUCCCGCCGCAACCACUCCCAACCCUGUGGGUUGGGUCGCUUUGCGCAAGUGUCGGAAGCGGAAGUUGUUAAGACGUGGGGGAGUUCUUGGGAGAGGGUCGAGCUUUCUUAGCGCUCGGUGUGUUCGGUCUGUGGCGGCCUGAGCAGCAGGUAAAGCGCAUUUGUGAGACCUCGGCAGCCCUGCUACCCGGCCCAAGCCGGAUCCCGACCCCGUAUCCUAGCCUGAGGGGUGUGGUGCCCGGUGCUCCGACUCCUUCCUAGGGUCCUGGUGGAGGUACCGGGAGUCACUUGUUCCUCCCUUGGAGUGAGGCCCCCUGUCCGGCUACCUCCGCCAUGGGCAACACGAGCAGCGAGCGCGCUGCGCUGGACCGGCAGGGCGGCCACAAGACGCCCCGAGGGGACAGCUCGGGGGGCUCCAAGGAUGGGGACAGGCCCAAGAUCCUGAUGGACAGCCCCGAGGACGCUGACCUCUUCCACUCCGAGGAAAUCAAGGCUCCGGAGAAGGAGGAGUUCCUGGCCUGGCAGCACGAUCUGGAAGUGAACGACAAAGCUCCUGCCCAGGCUCGGCCAACUGUGUUUCGAUGGACGGGGGGCGGAAAGGAAGUUUACUUAUCUGGGUCCUUCAACAAUUGGAGUAAACUUCCCCUCACGAGAAGCCACAAUAACUUUGUAGCCAUCCUGGACCUGCCGGAAGGAGAGCAUCAGUACAAGUUCUUCGUGGAUGGUCAGUGGACACACGACCCUUCUGAGCCGAUAGUGACCAGCCAGCUUGGCACAGUAAACAACAUCAUUCAAGUGAAGAAAACUGACUUUGAAGUAUUUGAUGCUUUAAUGGUGGAUUCCCAAAAGUGCUCCGACGUGUCUGAGCUGUCCAGUUCCCCACCAGGACCCUACCAUCAGGAGCCUUACGUCUGGAAACCAGAGGAGCGGUUUAAAGCACCACCCAUCCUCCCGCCACAUCUUCUCCAGGUCAUCCUGAACAAGGACACAGGGAUUUCUUGUGAUCCAGCUUUGCUCCCUGAGCCCAACCACGUCAUGCUGAACCACCUCUAUGCACUUUCCAUUAAGGAAGCCCAGACUGGGGUGUGCAGGAGCACGAGGCCUCGCCUUCCUGCCGUGAGCCGAGCUUGCGGAACUCACCGCAGAGUCCCCAACACUACCAGCAGGGGUGCCAACAGUGAACUGCGGAUGGCAGCAGGAGAGUGCAAUCCAGAAAACUGGCCCCUGGAACCGGCUGGCCUGCUGAGGAGACACGAUGCUCUGGAGCCUCCCCGUGCACUUGGGGGGGCCCCUAGUCUUCGGCACAUCCCUCCAUCUUCUCAGUUGCUAACCUAAAAAUUACACAGGUAAUAAAUACAUGCACGUGAUUUAAAAAUUUUGAAAGGUUUGGAGUUCUUCUAGAAGGUAACCACUGUUACCAGUUCGGUGUAGCCUUCCAGAGAAACUGUUGAUGUAUAUGUGUUUGAAAAAGUAAGGCAUCAAACCUUUUGAAUAGCAUGUUAUCACCUGUGUUUAAGAAGGGUGACUACACAUCUGUAUUUGUUUGUAUGCGGAGAGGCUCUCUAGAAACUGCGCGCUGGCUGCCUCCGGAAAGGGAACGCCAUAGCCCUGGCAGCUGUUACGGUUUGAGGCGCACACAUUAUCCAUCUGUGCAGCAGGAAGCCCCUUCUUAAGACGUUCUCUUCCUAAGCUUAAGUCCCGCAGACUCCGAAGUACAGUAGCGGCGCCCCUUCCCUACAACAGUGGCCCCUCGGGGAUGAGGAGGGCACCUCACUCACCUUGUUGACCUGGGACAGCGGGGUCCUCACGGCUCCCACGGGCAGCCGGCCCCUGCUGCCGUCCUCAAACAGCCUCCCGGGGGAGCGCUCCCUGCGCGUGCUGAGCAUCCGGCCGGGGGACUUCUCCCGCUCCAGGGGGCGGCCCGGAGACUUGUCCCUGCGCAGCUCCGUCCGCCCCUCGCGGUAGCGGUGGGGCGUGCCGGGCUCUCGCGGGUGGCUGGGGCCUUCAGGGGGCGCCGGGCUGGAGGCCACGCGCUUAGUGAUGUGCUCGUUGUACGUCGGCGGGCCUCGCUUGUUGGGGCUGCGAUAAUGGGAGAGGAAGGUGGGGAGCUGAGCCGUCACAACCCAACGGGGCAGCUUCCUCCUCCUCUGAGCCACCCUGUGCCCCCAUCUCACCACGCGUUAUUAGAAAAAGACCCCACCGGGAAUUCUUCGAGACGCUUAUAUCGACAGUGAGGCCAGGGAAAGAAGGCAGCGGUGACAGCAGAGGGGAAUCAGGCUUCCCGGUCUCGACACAGGCUUUCUGCUGAGCGCCCACAGCGUGUCGGGCCCUGUGCUAAGCUCUUCAGGUACCUUAACUCGCCGGAUCACCCUAACAGCAGCUCUGCAAGCUAGGAACGGCCGUGAGCCCGUCGCACAGACAAGCAGCUGGACACACAGAGAGGCUGCGAUCCCAGUGCAGGCCAGUGCGGCGUCGCACUCCCCACGUUCUAACCCCGCUGACCCUGGUAUUUUCCAGAGCCUAGAGGGCGCAGAAGGAAGUCUUCCGUGAGGGGUUAAGCCUGUACUCAUCGCUGUCAAGCUGCCAAAGCUGCCCCACUCCUGGGCCUUUGUUGGGUCACCUCUCCUUCCAAGUGGCUUUCCAGGAGUCUUUGGGGCAUCCGACACCAGAGGUGUAGGGAUCGGGCCUGAUAUAAUUAGGAGACUGAGGAGGGCAGACGAAAACAGUAGAGCUGGCUCAGAAAAUGUCUGAACAAUUCGUAUGACCACUCUAACCCUCCACCCAGCCCUGGGUAUGUCAGAUGACGAUCUGACCAGACACGGCCCUAACCACCUCUCUGAAGCAGCAAGAUCCAGAAACACAGGCAGACAGGACUGACACAGCCUUCGGCGUCGGUUCCUUCCCACCCCUGACGAGCAGCCAAGCUCAAAAUGUGGAAAUUCCAACGACCCACGCUCAGAAAGCCAGAACUUUCUUGUGUGUGCAGCAGUAAAAUUUGAGAUAAACCUUGAUUUCAAGGUGUCGAAAUCUGAGCUAUCUUCAUCUCUUGUCCUGUGGCUUUGUGAUAUAGAAGACAAAAAAAGAAAUUUCCAGUAAGAGUAUCUGGUUUGUAAUGGAAGAGAAAUUAUAAAGCGUGUCAGGGGCCCAUCGUAAAGCAAGCUCACUGCCCAGAGGAAGAAAAGUGGCUCAAGGAAGGCCAUUCGAGAAGUCAGCCUAGGUUGAUGGGAUAAAGGAAAACACUCGUCAUUCUGGGCGGAGCAGGCCAUUUUCCAUCUCCAAAUCCCUUAAUAACCAAUGCUCUACUUGCAAAGAGUUACAUUUCCUGCUCUGCUAAACAGACCUGGGGGCAGUGCAGCCUGCAGUGAAUCACAUUCUCCCAAGCUGGCCUUCUCCAUUCUGGACCUGCCCAAAGCAGACAGCAGCAAAAAGACGGUUUUAUAAGCCGAGAGGCAACUAAAGGAAACUGCUGGUUCUCCAGACAUGCCCGGCAGCAGCAGGAACAGCAGCAGCAUUAUUUCUGCCCCUUGUUCACAGGAACUAGAACCAUUUUCCACGACAGAGGAAGUUAACUCCUUACAGAGACACCAUAUCAUCUCAAAAGGAAGGUGCCUGGCCAUCUAACUAACUAACUAGUGAGGCAGUGGAGAAAAGAAGAAAAAUCUAAUUACAGUACUUGGGUUGGCUCUUGGCAUGACUGACUUGGAAACUAAAUAAAAUCUAGACAUUGUCAGGAGAGGACUACAGCCCUUUGAGCAGUCUCUCCUGAGGCACGAUCAAGCCACAACGAGUGAGAAGCAGCUGCUUAUUCAGCACUUCUGGUUUUCCAGCAAGUUCCUGGGACUAAAAUCACACUGACCAAACAUUUCUGACCAACAGUUACAUUUCAACAAAAGAAACAGACACUAGUCGUCAGGACAUAGUCUCAGAACAUUAAAUUGACGACUCUCUUUUCUAAGAUCUAAGCAGCAUUUCAUAACAUUAAAGGUGGUUCCUCCACCAAACUGAGUCCCUUGAGAAUAAAAACCAUCUUGUCUUCAGCUGUGUAGCCCCAGGCAUUGUGUCUGGCACAUGGUAGGGGGUCCACAUAACUCUCUAUAAUAGGGUAGACAUGUGGGGUUUGUAAACCAGUCCACAAAAUUAAAACCCUAGGUCAAUUCCCCUGGGUUAAAUAAGCUUAUCUCCUUUGUGGACCAGGAUCUUAAAAUUACACAUCUCAAACCUACACAUCGAACCGAAUCUGGCUCCGAGCCCUGGGUGUCAAGACAAAGCCAGUUCCACUUCCACACACUGCUGGUGGGAUAACUAAAGGGUACAGCCCCUAAGGAGGAAAACUCACCAACAUCUAUCAAAACUACCAACGCCCAUCAAUUUCUUUUCUAGGAAUUCAUCCUCCAGGUAGAUUCCUAAGCAUGCAAAAUGAAUGUACAAAGUCAUUUACUACAGCAACAGACUGGAAACAACCCAAACAUCCAGUGAUAAAGGAGCAGUUAAAUAAGGUACAGGCAGGUGAACGAAUGCUAUGCAGGUGUAAAAAAAAAAAAGAAUGAAGAAAUACUUCGGAUACUGACGUGGAGCAAUCUCUCUCUAAGACACAGAAGAGUGUGCACAGUAUGCUAUCGCCUCAAGGACUCCCGAAAACCUGUUUCUCCAUAGAAACAACAAGAACACUGGCAAAAUUGUCAAAAUCAACUUUUUGGAACUCUGGAAAUUAACCAAAGUCUUGCAACAAUUCAGAGAGUGUUUAUGCAAGAAAAUGUGCAAUAUUCACCACCCCUGUCUCCCCAGAUCUGCAGUAGUUUUGAAAGCAACAGCCUUGUAACCAGCUGUGAAAACCAGCACCCUGGUGACCACUGGAGGGAGUACAUUAGGACUGGAGCUUCCCAAAAGCCCCAGCCUUGGAGAACUGUCACUAUCUGACUUAUCUGGCUCCUCCCUGGAAAAAGACCAUCCUCAGGGCUUGUUUUUAAUUGAGCUGAUUCAGGUCUUCCUCUCUAGAAAUGCCCUAUCUCUAGACGUUUACCAAAAAAACAAAAAAAACAAAACAAAAACAA